ACAGGAAGACCUCCAUUCAGCUCGUCUUUAUAAUGGGGGUUGCCCGAAUUAUGUAUGUUUCUAGACAGAUAAAGGUUCACUAGGCACUUCUGAACCCCAUGCAAUAAAUAAUAUUUUUUUCCUAGGAAAUAGAACUCUCAGUAAUAAAACUAUACAAUUGUAAUCAUAAUAAGCAUGGUGGUGGCGCUUCUCUCACUAAAUUCAGCAGGAGUCAUUCUUUCUUCCACGUUAUGCCACUGUUAUACUCCAUCGUUCAUGCUACUUUGGAUUUGCUGUAUGACACAGAUUUUGGUAGCAGGUAGGACAUACGCAUUGUGUAUGCAACGAACAGAUACUGAUUGUGUAUAUUGACAUGGGUUUCAGAGACAUAAAGGUGAUAGAGGAGGAGGAGGAAGAGUUUAUGAAGGAGAACACCAGUCAGCUUCCUGUGAACAAAAUUGAAGGCAGUUAUGGAAGUGUAGAAGAGUAUCUGGAAACCCAUUUCAGGCUUAUCAGAGAAGACCUCAUUACUCCUUAUAGGCAGGCUGUGAGGGAGCUCAGAAGGAGAAAAUCCUGCAAUUUCAACUGCAAGUCGCUCACGGACAUACAGAUAUAUAACAGUGUGAAAAUGGUGGGCAUGAGAGCAGAAAAUUCAGGAAUGGAAUAUGUUUUGAAGUUCAGCGGCAUAGAAGGACAUAACUAUGUGGAUUGGGCCAAUGGAAAAUUGUUAAUGUACAAUUCCCUGCUUUGCAUUUCUGGAGAUGAGUUUGAGACGUUUUUCUGGGCCGUGGUUUCAUCAAGAAGACCCAGGGAUUUACAUGUUGAGAAUAAAAUUGGGGUGAGAGGCAUUGAUAAGCUGGAGGCUAAAUUUGAGUAUGGAGUCGAAUAUGUUAUGUUUGAGUCCACCAGUGCUUUUUUUGAGGCCUAUCAGCAUGUGUUGAAGGUGCUACAGAGGAAGGAAAUGGAGAAGCUUGUUUUUUUGAGGCAUCUUGUGUUUGUAGAGACUGAGGUUGGGGUGCCAGGGUAUUUGGUGUCAAGCAGUGGCAGCGGAGGUGGUACUGGUUGGGUUGGGGAAGUGGAGAAUUUGGCUGCAGGGGGCAGUGAGAUGGCUGCCAAUGGUUGGGGAGAGGAACUGAUGUCUAUAAAAAAUGAAGGAAAUGAUACUGAUUGGGCUGCAGGGAGCAAUGGAACUGCUGUUCAAGGGAUAGAUACAGUUUGGGGACCAUGGACCAAUGGGAGUGCUAGUGAUAGUGGCUGGGGAAGGGAAGAGACAUCUGUGAUUAAUGAAGGAACAGCUAGAGGUUGGGAAGCAUUGAUCAAUGAGAUUGCUGGUGAUGAUGGCUGGGAAGGGGAAUCGGCAUCUUCUGCAAGAGAACUGAUGGGUACAGAUCAAGAUGGACAAUCCGAGAAACAAGCAGCUGGGGGAAAUGUGAGGGCCAAUGAUGGUUGGGGAGGGGAAUUGGAUUCUAUAAUAACUGAAGGAACAGACACAGGAUGUGGUGUAGAUGCUGAGAAUUGUGUUUGGGGUAAUGAGGAUGCUGAUUGGGAUCAUGGUCAGGAGGCCAACCUUGCAGAAGGCAAUGGCCCACAUUCUGAACCAGAAUUACCUGGGUUUCUCACUGCUGAUAUUGAUGACAGUCAGGAGGCAGCAAUCAGGCAUGGACUCUCAAAGAAGCUAGCGAUCAUUCAGGGCCCAGCAGGCACUGGGAAAACAUUCGUUGGUCUCUUCAUCACAGAGCAAUUGCUUGCCAGUAUGAAGCUAAAUGGUCCCAUAAUUGUGGUAUGCUACACCAAUAGGGCCUUGGAUCAGUUCCUUGAAGGGAUUUACAAGUAUGAAACAAGCCUAGUUCGCCUUGGGACUGGAAGCAAGAGCCAGGUUUUGCAGCAAUGCAGCCUAGAAAGGUUUCAAAGGAAAUUCAGAAUUCGGCUUCCAAAGAUUCUUGGUCGUGCAAAAGUGAGGCUUAGAUGUAUUCAAGAAGAGAUGACUGAUAAAUUAAACUUUCAUGCGAAGUGUAUGUAUGCAGAGCAUGUAACUAGGAAAGCUCUUGUUAGGGUUGCGAAAGAAGAACAUAUGGACAGUUUAUUUUUUUGCAAUUAUUGUCCAGAGGAUGACAUUUACCAGUCAUGGUUGGUUGGCAAUGAUAAGGUACACCCUACUGCUUGCCUGCACUCAGUUGUGGAGUCUAAAAUUGAAAACACUACCCAGAAUCAAUCAUUGAAGUUCGAAGAUAUUGAGGAUGAUCCUGUAAGUAUUGGUUUAUUUCUUGAGUAUGGUAAAAUUGAGGAUGUAUGGAAGUUGGAUGCCCUUUCUAGGAAGAAAUUAGAUGGGUAUUGGUUGAACCAAAUUAAAUUGCAUGGGCAGAAAGCAUUCUGGAAUUUGGCUCCUGAAUAUGAAUCUUUAAUCAAUGAAAUGGUGAAGACAAAAAGCAAAAUUCAACAAUACGUAUUAAGAAGUGCAAAAAUCUUGGGCAUGACCACUACUGUAGCAGCAAGGUUCUUUGAUAUAUUGUACUCGAUAAAACCACAGGUAAUGAUAGUAGAGGAAGCAGCAGAAGUCUUGGAAGGUCAGCUGUUAGCUUGCUUAAAUCCUCACAUUGAGCAUCUAAUUCUCAUAGGAGAUCACUUGCAGCUCCGACCUUCUGUUGCUUCCUCGCAACUUGCCCUUAAUUACAACUUCGAUGUUUCAUUGUUUGAAAGAUUGGUGACAAAUGGAAUUGAAUAUAAAACACUACAAGUACAGAGGAGAAUGAGGCCUGCAAUUGCUUAUCUUCUCACAGGUUUUUAUCCUACCGUUAGAGAUCACAGAUGUGUUCAAACCUUAGACAAUGUUAAAGGGGUUCUGAGCAAUGUGUAUUUCCUGGAUCAUUCAAAUGUAGAAAGUUGCAUGGAUAUUUCAGGUAGCAAAUUCAAUCAUGGGGAGGCUGAUUUGGUGGUUGAGUUUUCUCUGUAUCUAAUGAACAAUUGUGGCUAUUCUUCAAGGGAUAUAACAAUCCUUAGCAUGUAUAGAUCUCAAGCUAAUGAGAUAAGUCAGCGUUUUUUGCAGUAUUUUUCUAGAAAAAAGAGGGUCCGGGAUAAAGACCACAUGGGAGAUGCACCAAUGGUAAGAUCUGUUGAUGAGUUUCAGGGGGAAGAAAGUAACAUUGUAAUUCUUUCCUUGGUAAGGAAUGCAACUCAAACACAAUAUUCAUAUUCAGAAUCUAUAGGUUUUUUGGGGAUUCCAAACAGAAUUCUUGUUGCUCUGAGUAGGGCUAGAUUGGGACUAUAUAUGUUUGGGAAUGCAGAACUUCUUGCAGAGAAAAGUCAAAUAUGGGCUGACAUCGUAGAUCGUUUAAGUAAAAAUGGAUGGGUUGGAACUAGAAUGAAACUGUGUUGUCCUAAUCACGAAGAGCAAGUAUUUCGAGUUCGCACAUUAAAAGAUUUUAAGUCUGCCUUUUGUCGUUUAAAAUGUGAAGCUACUCUAAAAUGUGGUCACAGAUGCACACAAAAUUGCCAUUUGGGAGGUCAUGACAACAUUACCUGUUUUAGGAAAUGUGGUAAAAUUCUUCCAUGGUGUUCACAUACUUGUUUGAAGCAGUGCCAUUUGGAUUCAGAUACAUGCCAUCCAUGUCUUAAAUGCAAUCAUUCCUAGUAAUAUUAGUAUUCCUGUACAGAAUGGUUUCUUGUGCCCAUUUGAAGUCACAAAGGAGGUAAUUGGGUCAGUUUUAAAGUGAUUUCAGAGUGUUCAAAAUUUCAAUACAUUUAGGCUUACAUUCCAUUGUUAUAACUGCUUACAUGGGUCACUCAUUGUUAGAAGUUUUGAAUGCCAUGUACACAGGGUUGAAGUCUUAGGUAAUGCAGCUGUUUCAAUUAAACACCAAGAGUAAUUCACCUUCUAGUGAAUCUAGCAUGGUCAAGCCUCAGGGCAUGGUGAUAGAACUUGAGGCAAAUGGAAAAUGAGAAUCAAAAUUACUUAAACAUCCCAUGUCAGCCAUCUGUGUACAAUCAACUUCAUGCCAGCAUUCAGAAUGUGAGAAGAGAUGUAGAUAAACUGUGAGAUACCUAUGUAAUGUCCCCUUAUUAUUUCCUUUGUAAUUUUUUGGUGUUUUCUAAUAUUUUAAAAGAUAAACAAACUGGAACAGCAACUGUAACUUGUAAUCUAAAUGUUGAUUACGUCUAUGAAGUUGGAAAUUUCAUCAAAACCCUCAAAUAACCCUAAACUACACUCAGAUCUGAAUUGCAAUCAUUAUGGCACCAACAACAACAUCAAUGUUAUUGAGUUCCAAUAUGGGGAAAUGGUUUUGAUACUGGUAUGGAAGCUGCAAACAAGUUUUCAGAAUUAAAAUUUUCCCAGAUUAACUCACAAGUGGGUGAAUGGUGGAAUCUAUGCAACAUGGCUGCUGAUAGAGGCCUCCAAAUGAAUCCCCAACACGCCCAAAUUUAGGUACAGCACUACAAUUGUUUGAUACAGGUGGCUGGUUACUAGAAUGUGGACAAAAUGCUUUCAUUGUGCAGGUGAUAGAACUGAGGCAAAUGGAAAACGAGAAUCAAAAUUCCUUAAUCAUCCUAUGUUGUACAAUCAACUUCAUGCUAGCAUUUAGAAUAUGAGAAGAGAUGUAGAUAAACUGUGGGAUACCUAUGUAAUGUCCCUUAUUAUUUCCUUUGUAAUUUUCUGGUGUUUUCUAAUCUUCAAAAAAAUAAGCAAACUGUAAUAGCAAUUGUAACUUGUAAUAUAAAUGUUGAUUACGUCUAUGAAGUUGGAAAUUUCAUCAAAAGCCUCAAAUAACCCUAAACUACACUCAGAUCUGAAUUGCAACCAAUAUGGCACCAACAACAACAUCAAUGUUAUUGAGUUACAAUAUGGGGAAAUGGUUAUGAUACUGGUACGGAAGCUGCAAACAAGUUUUGGUUAUGAUACUGGUAUGGAAGCUGCAAACAAGUUUUUAGAAUUAAAAUUUUCUCGGAUUAACUCGCAAGUGGGUGAAUGAUGGAAUUUAUGCAACAUGGCUGCUGAUAGAGGCCUCCAAAUGAAUCCCCAGCACUCCCAAAUUCAG